rnacentral:rRNA from 1 species
UACAGAGGAUGCAAGCGUUAUCCGGAAUGAUUGGGCGUAAAGCGUCUGUAGGUGGCUUUUUAAGUCCGCCGUCAAAUCCCAGGGCUCAACUCCGGAUCUGCGGUGGGUACGGGCAGACUAGAGUGAUGUAGGGGAGACUGGAAUUCCUGGUGUAGCGGUGGAAUGCGCAGAUAUCAGGAGGAACACCGGUGGCGAAGGCGGGUCUCUGGGCAGUAACUGACGCUGAGGAGCGAAAGCGUGGGGAGCGAACAGG